rnacentral:rRNA from 1 species
UACGUAGGGGGCAAGCGUUAUACGGAUUUACUGGGUGUAAAGGGAGCGUAGACGGCGAUGCAAGUCUGAAGUGAAAGGCGGGGGCCCAACCCCCGGACUGCUUUGGAAACUGUAUGGCUGGAGUGCAGGAGAGGUAAGUGGAAUUCCUAGUGUAGCGGUGAAAUGCGUAGAUAUUAGGAGGAACACCAGUGGCGAAGGCGGCUUACUGGACUGUAACUGACGUUGAGGCUCGAAAGCGUGGGGAGCAAACAGG